GGGUGGGAUGGGAGAACUCGUGUGAUGGAUCUGACUUCAAGCACUGGGCGGCUCUGCUAGAGCCCGUUCCCCCUUCCUUCUCGUGCCCCUCCCCAGGGACAGCCCGUGUACAAUCUCUGCAGUGUCCAGCAGAGGGAGCCCUAGCCACAGUCCCGACACAGAGCCAGGUGGGGCCAGGAGGGAGCACAAGCCAUCUGCCCUCUUAGACAGAAAACAGUGUGGAGGAGGAGGCCUCACCCUUUGGAUGGAACUUGCAGCGGCCGGGACAGAGUUGCGGUUUGGGGCAAAUCAAGUUGGGUUGGGGGCUCUGGAAGAAGGUGAGGAGUCUAUGGAGCAUAAAAGCAAGGAGCAGCGGCUGAGGCUCUGGGUGCAGGGUGUGGUUCACGAGGUCACCAAGGAGCCCUGGGACUGAAGCCCCUUUCCCUAGAACCCCGGCUCUACGUCUCGAAGUUCUGGAGGGUGCCGCCCCUCCGCACCACGUCACUGCAGGCUCUAGCUGCUCUUCCAGGCUUUCUGCUCCCUCUGCUGGCCGUUCUCACACAUGACACCCGCUCGGAGUCGAAGCAGAAGAGCUGGGGAACUGAAGGAGGAGCCCAGUUGAAGGAGGAGCCCCUCACUAAAGCCCACUUAAAAGCCCAGGAGGUGGAUAUGUGAGCUCUGAGAAACGGAGAGGCAGAGGUUGCUAUGCCCAGCGGUACUGCCUGACAGGGAAGUGCCCUGCCUCUUUAGAUUUGCAUUGCCAUCGUGACCGGAUAUAAGGGAGGGGCAGCAUUUCAGUCUCUGAUUUUUAUGAGAAAGAGGAGGAAGCAUGACAAGGAAAAAGGGCACCCUCUCCCCUUUUUUUCAACCCCACAGGCAGACCUCCCACAUCCUAGCUCUGCUUCCAAGAACCACCCCCUUGGGUGUGGAAGGUCAGUGGGUUAACUGUUCAGUCUGAGGGUCAAGGGGGAAAAGAAAAGGUGAAGGUAGGGGGAGAUCUGGGACUUUGACCCAGGCUAGUUAUCCCCAGAGGGUCAGAGACCCAGCUCAGUCAGACCAGACUAAUGGGCACUGAAAAAAAGGCACCCCACACAUGCUCCUGUCCCAGCCUCGAGCCCCUUCUUCCAGAGGAGCUAUUUAUGUAUUUAUGUAUUUAUUUAUUUUUAUUUGGGACGGGGCCUCACUAUUUGCCCAGGCUGGAGUGCAGAGGCUAUUCACAAGUGUGAUCAUAGCCUCGAACUCCUGGGUUUAAGCGGUCUUCCGGCCUUAGCCUCCUAAGUAGCUGGGACCACCGGUGCCCAGCAAGAAGAGCUCUCUUAGAACACCUUACUUUCUUCUCCCCACCCAGUUCUAUAGACCAGUGAGUCUCAAACUUUUUGGUUUCCUCUAUACUCUUAAAAGUCAUUAGGUUAGGCACAGUGGCUCAGACCUGUAAUCCCAGCACUUUGGGAGGCCAAGGCAGGCGGAUCACCUCAAGUCAGGAGUCCGAGACCAGCCUGGCCAACAUGGUGAAACCCCAUCUCUACUAAAAAUACAAAAAAUAGCUGGGCAUGGUGGCGCAGGCCUGUAGUCCCAGCUACUCAGGAGGCUGAGGCAGGAGAAUCGCUUGAACCUGGGAGGUGGAGGUUGCAGUGAGCCGAGAUUGUGCCACUGCACUCCAGCCUGGGCGACAGAGCGAGACUCCGUCUCAAAAAAAAAAAAAUCAUUGAGCUUUUGUUCAUAUGAUUUACAUCUAUCAAUUCACCACAUUAGAAAUUAAAACUGAAAAAGACUGUAACACAAGACCAUACAAGCACACAUUCCAUUAACAAUGAUGUCAGAAAGAUGAUGUAAUCACAUGUCACACGGCCUCUGGAAAACUCCACAAUACAAUUUUAAGAUAAUGAGAAUUCAAAAGGCAAAUAACAUGUUAGUAUUAUUAUGAAAAUAGCUUUGACUUUGUGGACACCCCUGAAAAGGGACCUCCCAGAAGCCUACAGAGUACACUUGAAGAACUGUUGCUCUGGACCAUCACCCUAACCCUUCUUUAUGACUCACAUUUGUUGAUUUUCUUUCUCCUUUUUAUUAAGAAAGUAUAAGCCAGGCGCGGUGGCUCACGCCUAUAAUCUCAUCACUUCGGGAGGCCAAGUCGGGUGGAUCAAGAGGUCAAGAGAUUGAGACCAUCCUGGCCAACAUGUUGAAACCUCGUUUCUACUAAGAAUACAAAAAUUAGUGGGCGCCUGUAAUCCCAGCUGCUCGGGAGGCUGAGGCAGAAGAAUCACUUGAACCCAGGAGACGGAGGUUGCAGUGAGCCAAGAUCGUGUCACUGCACUCCAGCCUGGUGACAGAGCGAGACUCGAUCUCAAAAAAAUAAAAAAGAAGAAAGAAAGUA